UACGUAGGGGGCAAGCGUUGUCCGGAAUUAUUGGGCGUAAAGAGCGUGUAGGCGGCCAGAUAAGUCCGCUGUGAAAUCUCGAGGCUCAACUUCGAGCUGUCGGUGGAAACUAUCUGGCUAGAGUCCGGAAGAGGAGAAUGGAAUUCCUGGUGUAGCGGUGAAAUGCGCAGAUAUCAGGAAGAACACCUAUGGCGAAGGCAGCUCUCUGGGACGGUACUGACGCUGAGACGCGAAAGCGUGGGGAGCAAACAGG
rnacentral:rRNA from 1 species